rnacentral:rRNA from 1 species
AGGACNAAGUCUGACGGAGCACGCCGCGUGAGCGAUGAAGGCCUUCGGGUCGUAAAGCUCUGUUGUUAGGGAAGAACAAGUACCGGAGUAACUGCUCGUACCUUGACGGUACCUAACCAGAAAGCCACGGCUAACUACGUGCCAGCAGCCGCGGUAAUACGUAAGUGGCAAGCGUUUUCCGGAAUUAUUGGGCGUAAAGCGCGCGCAGGCGGUUUCUUAAGUCUGAUGUGAAAGCCCCCGGCUCAACCGUGGAGGGUCAUUGGAAACUGGGGAACUUGAGUGCAGAAAAAGAAAGCGGAAUUCCACGUGUAGCGGUGAAAUGCGUAAAGAUGUGGAGGAACACCAGUGGCGAAGGCGGCUUUCUGGUCUGUAACUGACGCUGAAGCGCGA